GCCCGGUGCUCCCCUCACUUCCUGCCCCAGGCCCCCUUUACCUCCUGCCGCUGCAGGGCAGGUGCAGAGGCCACAGCAGCCCGGAGCGCGCUCCCCACGAGGCCUCAUGCCCAGGUGCAGAGUGGCCUGCUGCCUCCAGCUCCUGUCACUGUGAGGAGGGAAGGCACCCUCCAACUGUGAGUCAAAGUAAACCCUUUUCUCCAUUAAGUUGGUUUUGUUACAGCUACAGAAAAGUAACUAAUGUAACCUGAGCUUCCAGAAUAGCAUCAGCUCACAGGACAGACCUAGCACAACAGGGGCAUCAGCCAUCAUCUCGAGGGAACCACCCUGUCCCCUCAAACUUAAAGGACUUCUGAAGAUCACCUUGUGAACUCAAGCCCUUGCUAGACCACAAGACCAGGAUUACUUAAUCAUGUAUACCUCUUGUCCUCAUCCAGCCCUUACUGUUUAAAGCCUAAACCUCAGAGUCCUUGUCUGAGAAGCCUGAGCUUGGUGCCCGCACAUGGAUAACAGCACCUUCAGAGAUCUCCCCUGAGAACGGGCUUUCCAGCCUGAGGCUGAAGCCGUGGCUACUCUGCCCCCUAGUGAGCACUUUGGGAUAAAGCAGCUUAUAGCAGAGGGCACCAGGUGAGCAGAAGCCAGACUGCCACUCAAGCUCCACCGCCCGCCCCCAGGUGAGCAGAGGGCACCCACAGAGCUUUAAGGAGCACAGGUGACAUCAUGCUGUGCUGAGCUGGAAGCCAAGGACUCACAGCUUCAUCCACGCUGUCAUGGUGUCACAGUGACUGAGGUACACACCUGGGCAUCCGCGACAUUCACACCUGGAUGGCUGUGAUCACGAGACGAAGGCUUCUGCCCCUUCCCCAGGAGCAUGUCCAGCACUGAGAGUGAUGGGGAACUGCUCCAUGUCUUGCUUCUUUGGAACACAGGGCGGCCUAACAUCUGCUCAGAAGGCAAGGAACACUGCCACCUACUGGCUGCGAGGAGCACUGCAUCUGGUCGGGGACCGGACUUUGCAGGCUCUGUCCUCAGAGACCACAGAUGGUAUUAGAAUUCCCUGGGACUGGAGUUACAGAUGGUCGUGAGCCGCUGGAUGGGGACUAGGAAUUGAACCCGGCUCCUCUGAAAGAGCAGCCAGUUGAUGCUGUUAACCUCUGACCCUUAUCUCCACCCCUACACUCGUGAUUCCUAAGUGCUGCCCAGGCUGAGUUCACAUCCUGAUGUGAUGUGUCCUCCCUCUGUCCCCACAGUCAGCUCUUUGAGGUGACUACCCACUGGGCUGCCCGGAAGAGUGACUUACUCUAAAGCCUGUCCUUGUUGCAUUUUUAAAAAUGUAGUCAGUCUUCAUGGCUUCUGACAAUAGCUUCUGACAUAGUUUCAACGUUCUGCUCCUCCUGGAUCCUUCGUUAGAACACAUGGCACCCUCUAAGUGACCCCAAUAACCCUGACUGCUUCUUGAACUGGUGAACAAACCCACUGGCUGCCCACAUGGUGCCACCAGGGAAUUUCCUAUUUCCCUGAGGUGGACAUGACCGGAAGAUGAAAACACCUGAACAGAGCACCAGGGUGACCACGGCUGCCUCAAAGCUGGCUUCAGCCGAGGGUGACACUUUCACCAGUGUUAGCCCACAGCAGACAUGAUGCAGGGCAGCCAGUUCCCACGGACACAGAGUGUGCUGGGGACACAGGAGCUCCUGCAGGGUGAACAAGAAAUUCUGCAAAUAAGCCCCUUGAAGGAGUCAGGCUCUGCAGAGACUGAUGAGCCCACUGGAAUCUCAGUACCGGGGAGAGAUUGGAAGUUUGUAGUCCAGAGGGUAAUUACUUUAUCCUGGGCUAGCUUCUGGGACCGCCCUGCCCUGCCCUACUCACUCUGUGUCUGAGCCACCCCCUUGUGAGAACAAGUAAAACCUAUCAGAAGCUAGUCCUUAGGAGGACACUGCCUUCCCCCAAUCCAAGAGCUGAGGAAGCCAUCAGUUAGCACCGUGGGCCUAUGAAAUGGCUCUCCUCGUUUCACUGUACUUGUCUCUCUGGGUGUAUUUUAAAUACCACCAGUGUAUUUCAAAAUUGCUCUGGUGUAUGACUUCCUUUGUUCUGUAAGACUAUGAAAACUUUAUGAAACUGUUUCCACAUGGAGUAUAGAAUUUGGGGUAACCUAAAUCUGUGUUCCAGGGCCAUGGUCACUCGUAAGGCUCCAGAUUAAACCAUCUCUUACCCUGCUUAAAACGAGAGCUGUGGUUUUUAUGCCGACAUAAAACCAGAGGCCAGAAAUGCACGGGGAGACAGUGACCUUCAGGACCCAGGGACUUCUGCAAGCCACAGUCCAGCCUGUCCUCAUCAACAGCUGCCAUUGGCAAGGUGGGAAGAGGAAAGGUAUCUACACAGGGAGAUUGACUCAAGGCAAAGCCAGCAAUCCAGACGGCACUCUGGGUAGCUGAAAGUGACGUGAAACAGCAUGUGUGAUAGUGCUUAGUGGCUGCUGUGUCCUCUUUGGGGCUUCAGGGUCAAGCACACACUUCAGAGGAGAGUUUUCUAAACGUCACCACAAUCACAGAGAGCAUCCCAAGUUUAAGAUUCUCAUGGAAGAUUCGACAGAAACAGCUCAUAGUUGACACAAACCUCACAAAGUUCCUGAUGGAAUGCAAGCAAAAUCUGUGGGCCAUGGCUGUACUAGAUUUGGGAGGACCGAGCAGGGUUCUGGAGUUGGUUCAGGCACCCGCUGUCCACCUGGAGGACCGCCCCUGCAGGGAGUGUCUCACAAUCACGUUCAGAUCACAUACACACUGUUCAUUUUAAUCAAACAGUGGUAAACACUGGCCCGUUCUCCUUAGUUUAUCCAGCAUCCCGAAGGGGACAUGCAGGGGCGGGGCAGGACCUGUGGGACUCCCCAGGGUGAGCCCAGCAAGCCCUGGAGUGGUACCCCUGCAGCCUGCUCAUGGCCCCAGGAUCCCCACCUCACUCUCCACCUGGCAGCAGAGGAGGAAACUGCUAACUAUACUUUCGGUUUUGACCAAUAACACAUCAACCAGUCCCCAAAUGACCGUAAGCCUGUUUUCACUAAAAAUGCUUUCCAAAAAUAUCAAGACCUCUUGCCAGCUUCCUGAAUAACAGAAACUCACAAGCGAUAAGAUGUUAAGGGAUUGGAAAGGUUAGAAUGAGAAGUUAAUCACUUGCAACCAAGCUGCCAGCACCAUUUGCACAAGCCCUGGACUGUUACCUACUCAGAAAAGGCAAGCGAGUAAAGCAUUUAGCAGCUUGCUCACCAUUCCUGCUUCUCAGGCUAGGGCUGUUGAAAUCUUUUCCCCACACCCGAGUUUCACUUUAAACGCACACAGGAAGAAGCAAAGAGUCUCCCAGGGAAUUUAAAUACCCUAAGAGCCAGGAAGCUGCAAGCCCACAGCCCUCCAGGUUAUAUCAGGGAUCACCUCCCUGGGCAUCGAGAUAGGUCAGGGCUCUUCCUGAGGAGAUGGGAUUCAUCUGUGGCCAUUGGGUGCCGGAUGCCACGUCAGCGCACUUCAUUCAUUCUCCGGCAAAGUGUCAUUAGGACCCCCACCAACACAAGGUAAUUAACAAGCUGGUUUCCUUCCACCUGCCGGUUCCUAGGGUUGGAUUCCUUCCCAAGCACAUCUUCAGCUUGGCGACUGCACUUGAGUGCUAACAUCCUUCAUGUUCUAAGGCAAGGACCAAGUUUCUUUUUGCUAAGCUCUUUCCAUUCUGCUCUGCCUCCAGCCCCCGCCCAGUGAUCCUAUAAAAAACCCAUUAAAGCAUUAGGUUUGGCCACGUGCAGUCACAGACAGAGAAGACCAUACUUGGGAGGAGCGCUUGGGGAUUCAGCCAAUCCAAGAUAGUAUUCAUCAUUCAUUCUCUCUCCUUUAUACUGAAGAAUCUAUUUUACUUUUUUUUUUUUUUUAACCACGCACGCUGCCCUGUACCUAAACAGGAGUGCCCGCCAUCAUAGGCACUUCAUCUCCACCUCUCAAAAUCAAGCUUCAGGUGCCAGGGCAUUCAAGAAAGCCUCAACUAAGG